CGCGGCGUCACGUGAUGUUUGGAGCUGCUUCCGGGUCGAUGCGGGACGCGGCGGCCGGGCCUGGAAGUCCAAGAAGGGAGCAUGGACCAGCCCAGUGGAAGGAGUUUCAUGCAAGUUCUGUGUGAGAAAUACAGCCCUGAGAACUUCCCCUACCGCCGGGGGCCUGGCAUGGGGGUGCACGUCCCAGCCACCCCACAGGGCUCCCCUAUGAAAGACCGCCUGAACCUGCCCAGUGUGCUGGUGCUCAACAGCUGUGGCAUCACCUGUGCCGGGGACGAGAACGAGAUCGCCGCCUUCUGCGCCCACGUCUUCGAGCUCGACCUCUCUGACAACAAACUGGAAGACUGGCACGAGGUCAGUAAAAUUGUGUCCAACGUUCCCCACUUGGAGUUUCUAAACCUGAGUUCCAACCCUCUCAGUUUGUCCGUUCUAGAGAGAAGUUGCGCUGGGUCUUUCGCUGGCGUCCGCAAACUUGUGCUCAACAACAGCAAAGCUUCCUGGGAAACAGUGCACACCAUCCUGCAGGAAUUGCCUGACUUGGAGGAACUCUUCCUGUGCCUUAAUGACUACGAAACAGUGUCUUGUUCUCCAGUUUGCUGUCAGUCUCUCAAGCUCCUCCACAUAACUGACAACAAUCUUCAAGACUGGACUGAAAUUCGAAAGCUGGGAAUUAUGUUUCCAUCCCUGGACACACUUAUCCUGGCUAACAACAACCUCACCACCAUUGAAGAGUCAGAAGAUUCCCUGGCAAGGCUCUUCCCCAACCUAAGAUCCAUCAACUUGCACAAGUCAGGUCUGCAUUGCUGGGAAGACAUUGACAAGUUAAAUUCUUUCCCGAAGCUCGAGGAAGUGAAAUUGCUGGGAAUUCCUCUGCUGCAGUCUUACACCACCGAGGAACGCAGGAAGCUGCUAAUAGCCAGGUUGCCAUCCAUCACCAAGCUCAACGGCAGCAUCGUGGCCGACGGCGAGCGCGAGGACUCGGAGCGAUUCUUCAUCCGCUACUACAUGGAGUUCCCUGAGGAGGAGGUCCCCUUCAGGUAUCACGAGCUGGUGACCAAGUACGGGAAGCUGGAGCCCUUGGCAGUGGUGGAUCUGCGGCCUCAGAGCAGCGCCAAGGUGGAGGUUCACUUCCAGGACAAGGUGGAGGAGAUGUCCAUCCGUCUCGACCAGACUGUGGCAGAGCUGAAGAAGCACUUAAAAACUGUGGUGCAGCUGUCAACAAGCAACAUGCUGCUCUUCUACUUGGACCAGGAAGCUCCUUUUGGUCCCGAGGAGAUGAAAUACAGCUCGCGGGCGCUGCAUUCCUACGGCAUCCGGGAUGGGGAUAAAAUUUACGUGGAGCCCAGAAUGAAAUAGCCUUUUUGCCCACACCCACACGCCCCCACACACCCACACACAUGCAUUGAGGAGUUUGUUGCAAGGUUUUUAUUUCGGUUGGUUGGUUGAGGUUUGGUUGUGUUUCUGUAGCAGGUAAUUUCUUAGCCCGGAGGAAGUGCCCUGAUGUGAGAACCAUGCCCACCAUCCACUGCAGGUGACCUUGAGGUGACAAUUGACUUCAGGACGUGUGUUUCAGUGUGGGCAAUACCUUGAUGUUUCCUUUGAUGCUCCGGUAUACUCGUGAUUUGGCAUGAAUGGUCAGUUGUUCAAGCUAAACAAUGCCAGGGUCCAUAAGGGAGGAGACAGCUCGGUGCAGAUUUUGACCUGUUGUUUUCUUUUCCUGAAUUUUUUGGUGUUUUGCUCCACCAGAUCUCCCUUUGGCCUAGCUAUCCAACUGUGGCUCGAGCUUGCUGUAGUAUUUUCUUGCAGCUUGGUGCUGUCUCAACCUUUUGUUGUGCUCGAGUUCACAGGAAAGAUCUCCAUCAGUAUUCUGCUUGAUUCAGAGCUCAGGUACUUUAGUGCAUCCACUUCACUCCACUGGUUUGCUUUCUGUGAGUGCACAACAUGGGGGAAAGAAAAGAACUUCCCAGAAAGAAACUUUCUUUUCAAAGUGCACGCUCUAUAUCCACCUGAUUUUGGAGGGAAAAAAAGAGGUUUUGGCUGCUGUACCCAUCUCACACGGUGCCUGCAGCCUGUGGGGAUAAAGGAUGUGUUGGAAAGUGAAUUUUGGGAGGUGGUGGAUGAGCGCUGCAUUGGAAGGGCUUUUUGAACAGCAGGUCAACAAGGGGUUAAAGAGCAGCUUCCCCUGUUGUCCAUCCUGAUGCUGAAGAGAUCCUCCAUGCACUUCACUUUGUACCAGUGGGUGCUGCAAGUGGAAUGGCUAAAAUCCCUCUCCUGGGAGAGAGGAAGAGUCAAGUUGAAGUUUGUGUUUGUUGCUGUUGCACCAGUUCAAACCUAGCACUUUGCCCGGGACCCCUGCCCGGGGGUCCCUGCGUAGGGUCCGGACUCGGAGGAGGUGUUGGCUUGGAUCAGCCCCUGCAGGUGGAGGAACAAAGCAGCUGGGCCCACGAUGGGUGUUCAGCAGGACUCAAUGUUGGGUGUUCAGCAGUUUUCACUCCAACAAAGCUGCUGGACCCACAUUGGGUGUUCAGCAGGGCCCACGUUGGGUGUUCAGCUGGACCCAUGUUGGGUGUUCAGCUGGACCCAUGUUGGGUGUUCAGCAAGUUUUACUCCAACAAAGCUGCUGGACUCACACUGGGUGUUCAGCAAGGUUCACUGAACAAAGCAGCUGGACCCACCUUGGGUGUUCAGCAGGUUUCAUUAAAAAAAACCAGCUGGACCCACAUUGGAUGCUCAGCAGAACCCAUGUUGGGUGUUCAGCAGUUUUCACUCCAACAAAGCUGCUGGACCCAUGCUGGGUGUUCAGCAGGGUUCAUUCCAACAAAGUUGCUGGACCCAUGUUGUUUGUUCAGCAGGGUUCACUGAACCAAGCAGCUGAACCCAUGCUGGAUGUUCAGCUGGACCCACGUUGGGUGUUCAGCAAGGUUUACUGAACAAACCAGCUGGACCCACGUUGGGUGUUCAGCAGAGUUCACUGAACAAACCAGCUGGACCCACAUUGGAUGCUCAGCAGAACCCAUGUUGGGUGUUCAGCUGGACUCAACAUUGGGUGUUCAGCAGUUUUCACUCCAGCAAAGCAGUUGGACCCAUGUUGGGUGCCCAGCAGGGCCCACUUUGGAUGCCCAGCAGGUUUCUCUCCCUCUCUCUCUCUUGGCUUUCCCCUCGCAGGCAUCGCGUGCUGCUGCUUCACGUAGUCCCUGUUUUCUACUGCACAGCAGAUCCCCUGCCUGGUCAGUGAAAUCCUCCUCCUUUUUUCCUCUCUCUUGUUUCGCUUUCCUGCGUCUUCCCCGCUCCAAGUUGAAGAGUUUCCCAAUUUCCUGUCCCAAGCAGCUGCUCAGCAGUUUUUGGAGCUGUGCAGCGAGGGCUCUAGUUACACAUGAACUCCUGACCUUCAUUUUGAAAUGCUCCCUUUAUCCCCACGUGCACUUUCUUCCCCAGGAUGCUUUUUCCCACAUCACUGAGCUCCUUUGGUAUUCUUGGAGUUGUGUAUUUCUCUUCACAUUUUACCUGGAUUGUGGGGUGGGAUCAUUGGGGAGGGGACUAAGUAUUAUUAUCUCAUUAGUCUUCAGGUUUAGGAUUUGGGGAUUGUUCAGAGGGGAUUAGUUCCUUAUCCAAAGCAAGGGUUAAAAUGGGAGGAUUUAAAACAAGUCACUAAUUUGUGCCUCAUCCCCCUGCCAAAAAUAGCAAUUUCUUGGCCCCAUUGAGAUGAGCAAUAGGGAAGGGAGUGAGAUUUUCCACAGGUAACAUAGAUUUCCAUAGAUCCAUGGUACCUGUAACCUAAACAGCAGGGAGAUAGUGGCAGUAUAACAUAAAAUGAUGCUUUUAUAAGCUAGAGCUUUACUGAAGAUGUAUUUUCCAUUUGGGCAGCAAAAAUAAUUUGCUGCCUGAUAGCAGAACCCUUAAGCCAACACUUCUGUAUGAUAUAUACAUACCUACCAAUAGGAAAAGUUGUGGUUAAUAAGAUAUUUUGUUAUAAAGCAAAGUUUUAUGAAGAUAUGGUUGUUUAAUAUUAGAAACCUAUUUCAGCCCUUGACCUCCAGUGUGAGUAGGAGAUCCCUGAGUGGCUGCAGAGUCCGAGGCAAGGACCUGUGGGGAUGCAAAAUCUCUGACCCAACUCUCCAGAGCAUAAUUGCCUCUGUGGGUGUAUUUAUGGCAUUGUACCUGCUGUCAGUGAGAUGCUGUAACUCUUGUCCAACUUCCUCAGCACAAUUAAGAGUCUGGGUUUCAGAGAAGGGAAUAAACAAAGGCCAUUAAAGAGUGGAAUGGGAUGAUAAAGAAGGGCCAAGUGCUUUCAAGUUUGUUUGCCCACUAAAAACUGGGCUGUCCGUGGAGGGAUUGGUGCUGUCACCAGCUCAGAACUGGCAGUAAAUGCUGCUUUCAUUUGUGACAGACCUGGUGGGAAGAUGGAAAAAGAGAGCACAGAAGGUUAACAGGUGCUGGGGGUUUGGUGCUGGCACCCAAACCUGCUCCCCUGGUCCCUUCAGGUGUGAAAUCACCACCCUGCUGUUUCUCCAGGGAGGGUUUUUCUCAAGGCAUUCACCUUGUGUGCAGGUAAUGGAGCAGUCGUGGGGUAGAAACCAAAAAUCUUGGUUGGCUUCCCAAGGAGAAGGAGUCACCCCAAAACCAGAGGGAGUUUGUGUGGGACCAAACAGCACACGAGGAUGUGGCAAAAUAGCCCAAAUCAUGGUGCCUUGUGGGGAAGGGUCUCGUGUGUGUGCCACCCAACAGGGCACCAUGUCUUGGGGAGGGAGGAGAAGGUUUGGCUGCUGAGUGAGGGUGCAGAUGGGGCAGGAGGUUUGAUUUAAACCUCUGCCAUGUCCAGGCAUUGCCAGCCUGUGCCCUCUCCAGCUGAAGGUCCCUGGGUCUGUCACAUCCGCUUGAGACAACAAAAUAGAUGUGCAAACUUCCCUGGUUUGUGUGUGCUUCUACCUGAGGGCUGCUUUUGUGUGUUGUUCAUGCAUCAAAGUGUGCCCAGCAGGCAGAGCACCUGCUCCACGAGGACUCGGGUGACAGCUGGAUACCAAAGUGUCCCACGGCUCUGCGUACCCAGUUUGAGGCUGUGCUCUGUGGUUUUGGAGAUGUUCCUGUUCAAUAUUCAUAUUUUUGGCCAGAUGUUGCAGGCAGAUCGCUGUUAUGAACAUGCACGGGGUGCUGGCUGUCCUCUGCUCGCUGGCUGGGGUUUGUAAUCUGGUUUUUUGGGAGCUGCAGGUGUGACCCGUGGUGGCUUGGGGGACGUGGUCUCCUGCUCUGGGUCUGCAAUCCCGUGGAGGUGCCACAGCUCUGCCUCCUCUCUUGUCAGUGACAUUCUGUGCAAGAUUUGAGAAUGCAAACGAGUGCUUAAAGCAGCCCAGAGGCUAAAAUCUGUAUUCUGGCAGCUGUGCCUCCCUGGUUUGGAUGUGGCACUUUUGUGGCAGCAGAGGCGCCUCCCCCAGAGCAGCCUUAGAGGGGCUCCAGCCACCUCAGGCCUUUCCCUCUGUGAUUGCUGUUCUGCAGUUCCUGAAAACUUCAAAUACAAUUUAAACAUGAAGAUCUGUUCUUGCUCCCUGUUAAUGUUGCAUCCAUCUGUAAUUUCAAAGAAGAAGAACUGUAAGUCCAUCUGGUUUUUGAUUCUGGUUUCUCUCCCAGGGGAUACACCUCCCGCUCCCACAAUUUGCCUUUGGUUUGCUUGCAGACUUAGUGGUGGAAUUCAGGCCAAAAUAGGUCAUUGGUUUGGAUCAGUUCAAUAAACUUAUGUAAGUUUUUACA